rnacentral:rRNA from 1 species
AUUGAACGCUGGCGGCAUGUCUUACACAUGCAAGUCGAACGGCAGCACGGGGGCAACCCUGGUGGCGAGUGGCGAACGGGUGAGUAAUGCAUCGGAACGUGCCCAGUAGUGGGGGAUAACCAGUCGAAAGACUGGCUAAUACCGCAUACGACCCAAGGGUGAAAGCGGGGGACCGUAAGGCCUCGCGCUAUUGGAGCGGCCGAUGUCUGAUUAGCUAGUUGGCGGGGUAAGAGCCCACCAAGGCGACGAUCAGUAGCUGGUCUGAGAGGAUGAUCCGCCACACUGGAACUGAGACACGGUCCAGACUCCUACGGGAGGCAGCAGUGGGGAAUUUUGGACAAUGGGGCAACCCUGAUCCAGCCAUGCCGCGUGAGUGAAGAAGGCCUUCGGGUUGUAAAGCUCUUUCGGCCGGGAAGAAAUCGCACGGGCUAAUACCCUGUGUGGAUGACGGUACCGGAAUAAGAAGCACCGGCUAACUACGUGCCAGCCGCCGCAGUAACAC